rnacentral:piRNA from 1 species
GCUGUCUCAAAUUGCUCUUUGGAAUGC